rnacentral:misc_RNA from 1 species
ACGUUAUUAAUCAAGACACCAACAUCCAAUCCUUCAAUAGUCUCCUGAAUUUUCUUAACACCCUCAUUGAUAUCGCCGCUGAAAUCAACAACAACGGUCUUGAUUUGGACCUUGCCAUAUUUGGACUGAAUAGAAUCCGAAACAUCUUUGAGCUUAUCGGGAUUUCGACCAACCAAAACCAGAUUAAGACCCUUUCGAGCCAAUUGAAAAGCGAAACCUUUGCCAAUACCGUCAGUAGGUCCGGUUACGAGAGCCCAUGAUCCAUAUUUCUUCAGAUUCUUGGCCGGCCUGAGGAAAUUGACGUAAACCCAUUUGAGGAAAGCGAAGAAGAAUUUCAAAACUGAUAAAGAACCCAUAGUGAAUAACACAAGAAGCCAGCCAGUAAGGCUGUUCUUUGAGCUUAUCUACAAAACAAAGCUCCAUUUUGGAGAGCAACUGUUUUCUUCGAUCAAAAAUGAAAAGAGAGAGAUCUGGGAAGUGGGUUUUGCUCAAGAAAGAAUAAUAUAGACAAAAAAGAGAGUAUCCCUGUUCCUAUAUUGGAUUUUGAGAUUGGUGGAAAUGGGUGAGAAUUGACUACACAAACGGUAGCUAACAAAGAAAAACAGAGGGCGAAGUGAAGCAGAGAAGAAGUAGGGUUAGGAAGAAGCAGUUGAGAGUGAGAGAUUUAUUAAGAUUUGAAAUGGGCAGAGGGUGGCAAAGUAGAUGAGCUGAAAACCACCGCAUUUAACAACUAUUGAUGAACAGCCAUACCAGAACAAGAGGAUAGGACCUCUGCCUCCGUCUUUUGAGUACUUUCUUUUUUUUUUU